CCUUGGCCUCCGUGAGACAGAAAGAAAAGAUGUUCCUGAAAUUCUCCCUGCAGCUCCUUUGGAUUCAACUGGCCUGGCUGAGCGCAGAGGAGCUGCAGCAGAGUCCUGAGUUUCUAAGCAUCAAGGAGGGGAAAGAUGUCACCAUGCACUGCAACUCCUCAAGUGUUUUCCCCACUAUUCAGUGGUACAGACAGAAGCCCGGGGGAGGCCCUGUCUUCUUGAUGGCGUUGGUCAAGGGUGGAGAAGUGAAGGAACAGAGGAGCAUGAGGGCUCAGUUUGGUGAAGAAAGAAAGAGCAGCUCCCUGCGCAUCACCACGGCCCAGCCUGGGGACUCAGGGACCUACAUCUGUGCAGGUGCACGGUGCGUGGGAGGCACCUGAUGCCUACGCCCAAACCACGGAAGGCCCCAGGCACACUGCUCUUUUGUCUUCUAUUUUUCCUCGCUCUCUUCUUGGCAUUUGUGAUAACAACUAUGGCUCCUCAUAAAGCCUUUUCUACUGAAUUUCCAGAAAACAUUGGUUACACACUAGACAACUACAAGACAAAUCUGUGAAGACCUGGCCUAUUGUUAGUGUCGGUAGCAAUAUGGACAUACAGAGACUUGGGGUGGAGCUGAAGUCCAUAUGGACCAGUGGAUGAUACCAGACAGAGAAUUGUGAUUCUGAUUGUUCAUUUCGUUUUCCUAAAGACCACCCAGGGAUGGUUAGUACAA